rnacentral:rRNA from 1 species
CCUUCCUCCUCGCUGAAAGUGCUUUACAACCCGAAGGCCUUCUUCAUACACGCGGCAUGGCUGCAUCAGGGUUGCCCCCAUUGUGCAAUAUUCCCCACUGCUGCCUCCCGUAGGAGUCUGGACCGUGUCUCAGUUCCAGUGUGGCUGAUCAUCCUCUCAGACCAGCUAGGGAUCGUCGCCUAGGUGAGCCAUUACCUCACCAACUAGCUAAUCCCAUCUGGG